CCACAUCAAGUUGAAACACCGGUUCCCAUACGAUUACCGAAGUUAAGCAACGUCGAGCGUAGUCAGCGCCUAGAUGGGUGACCGCUUGGCAAUGCCAGAUGCUGUAAG